CACAAAUCAAUCUUCAGUGGAUCAAAGAUCUCCUUCAGCAAGUGGAUGCAGUUCAUGUACAGGUUUUGUCAGGGUCUACGGUUACGCCAGAUAGACAUGAUGGAUGACAGAAUUGCAAGUAGUUCAGCUACUCUUACUAAAAUGGCAAAGAAAAUAAGGGAGGUCUGUGUCACAGCAGUUGAAAGGAUGAGAAGGCGUACAGGCCAGCAAAUUGGUGGAAGAAGGGAGUUUGUUGUGAUCGACGAAAGCCAUUUUCAUCACAAAAGAAAGUAUGGUAAAGGAAGAAUGGCUGGAGGGUGGAAAAGAAAGAAGUGGGUUUUUGGGAUGUUAGGUGUGAAAUAUCAUCAGCAGCA